AGUAGGGAAUAUUGGUCAAUGGACGGAAGUCUGAACCAGCCAUGCCGCGUGCAGGACGAAGGCCCUCUGGGUUGUAAACUGCUUUUGUAUAGGAAGAAACGUCCCGACGUGUCGGGAUUUGACGGUACUAUAAGAAUAAGGAUCGGCUAACUACGUGCCAGCAGCCGCGGUAAUACGUAGGAUCCGAGCGUUGUCCGGAUUUAUUGGGUUUAAAGGGUGCGCAGGCGGCCCAAUAAGUCAGUGGUGAAAGCCGACAGCUUAACUGUCGAACUGCCAUUGAUACUGUUGGGCUUGAGUAUAGUUGAGGUUGGCGGAAUGUAACAUGUAGCGGUGAAAUGCUUAGAUAUGUUACAGAACACCGAUUGCGAAGGCAGCUGACUAAGCUAUUACUGACGCUCAUGCACGAAAGCGUGGGGAUCAAA
rnacentral:rRNA from 1 species